CUUAAGAGAUAACAUCAUAAAAGCUUUAGAAACAAACCAUAUGACCCCUUUCCCUAAUCAAAUGAGCGUUAUUAGCAUGUGUCGAGGGCCUUUCUUCAUUCAAAAUCCUUAUUUUUGUUACUCUUUCAUUGCUUGUUUCUUGUUCUCAUGUAUGGUGGGUUUUUGCUUUCCAGGUGAACCACCUAAAGGAACCAAUGAUCUCUAGAGGAACCAGCUAAUAAGUUCAUAGAGUUUUGUCUGAUUCACAGCAUGCAUCUUAUGUCAUUCUUCGCCUCUCUGAUUAGCAAUUAAGUAUGCAAUCAUAGUUAUACUUUUGUUUCCUCUUGUUUCAUUCUACAGUUCUUGAUGUGUAUGCCAACCAGUUCCAGAAGCUCAAGCAUUUGAACUUGUGCUGUUACACAGAACAAGACAAGCCAGCCAGUAAAGAGUCGCCUUCACUGGCUGUUUUCUCUGACAAAUACAACUCAAAAACUAUACCCAAAAAGAUCAAAAGAGUCUUGAUUGAGUUUCUAUAAACUCACAUCUUUUACGGAGACAGAGCAGGAACAGGUACAAACUCUGAAGAAUAGCUGGAGCUGUGUUGGCAAUUCAUGUGCUAACUUCACCUGUGGACACAUUCAGAUAUGAUUCAAGGAAAAUGGAAAUGAAAUGCAGAGCCAUGGAAGAAGCAAAAGACAGAACCUAACAGUAGGUCAGAUUUCAUCACUGGAUUUAUUCCAUUUUGCAGUAGCACUCGUGAGCCUGUAACACAAAAAAUAUUAUUAUAUGC